rnacentral:tRNA from 1 species
GCGCCCGUAGCUCAGGUGGAUAGAGCAGCGGUUUCCUAAACCGCGUGUCGGGAGUUCGAGUCUUCCCGGGCGCGCCA